AGAUAGUGAGUCUUGUCUUGGUGGCAAGAAUAAAAUAAAGUGCCUGCUCUCUGGGGACAGGGUGAGUGCAUUAGCUUUUUAAGGCAAUCUGUGUAUUCUUAGGAACUUUUGUCUUUUAAUACUCUGAAAAAAACUAGAAUGAUUCUCUCAGUACAAAAUGAUUAGACUGUCCCAUGCUGGCUUGGUCAUUUUGGUUGAAUUAGCUGUCAAGAUAAGUUGUGGCAUACUUGCUUUAGCCAUGGUGAUUGGUGAGAUGUUGGUGGGCAGAAUGAUUUAAUUGACUAGACUAAUGUUAGCUUUGUAUGUAUAUAUUUAAUUUUUAUAAACUUUAAAGAUGUUUUAUAUUGUGCACCAGAAAUACGAAGAUCUGGGCUCCCAAAUGCUUGUUCUUUAGUAACUAAUAGUAAAGAAGUGGAUUAAUGAACAGAAAGAGAUAUUAACACUCUAACCAUAGUAUGAUUUUAUAUUCUAGAAUUAAAAGCAAAUUGCUGUGGGACAGUAGAGGAAAAAGACAUUCAUUUUGCUAUAAGUUACUAGAUAUAGGGUAAGGUUGUGGAUAACUACAAAGAUAUAUUUAAACUGAACCUUAAUAUUAUAUCAUCAUUUCUAAUGACCAGUGAUAUACAAAGCAAUGGCCUGGUGUCAAAGUUCAUGGCAUGCCUGAGAAAUGGGAGUAGUUCAGAGGCCUGGACCAUAGAUGGGAUUGAUGGAUGUGGAAAAUCUGAGCCAACUCUCUGGGAUGCUGGAUCAGAGUCAGGGCUGAGAAAGUCCCCUACACUGGGUGCCGUCAACAGAAAAGAUAUUUUUAAACACAAACAAUUUCCCAGGCAUCCAUGAAAAGCAACAAUAGACUUCUCUAAAAUGAGUCUUGGUGAGGAGCUGUUCUCGUUCUGUGACUUUCAUGUCACUUGGACACUUUGGUGCUGAGAAAUGCUUAUUUGCCUGUCGACGUCACUGCAUG
rnacentral:lncRNA from 1 species